rnacentral:tRNA from 1 species
GGUAGGGUGGCUGAGAUUAUAGGUGAUAGAUUGUAAAUCUAUUUAGGAGGUAUUCCCUCUCCUACCA